AUGCUUGUCGACUCCGGCGGCACCACUUCAUUCAUCAACGAGCGACUUGCAGCGGUCAUCCAAGGCGUUCAGCCUCUUCCCCGCGCGUAUCAAGUGCGAGUGGCUGACGGAGGGGCACUCAGCUGCUCUUCAAAUGUGCCUCAGUGCCAAUGGUGCACUCAAGGGCACCAAUUCAAGACCAAUAUGAAGGUGCGGGCGCUCGGAACGUACGACGCCAUCUUGGGCAUGGACUGGCUCGAGGAGCACAGUCCCAUGACGGUGGACUGGCGGGCGAAGCUCAUUGAGAUUCCAUCGUCCGCGGGCCCGAUUCGCCUCCGCGGACAUGAAGCUACUUCGUCAACGUGCACGGUCAUCAACGCCCUCCAGCUCCAACACAUGUGCAACACCGACGCCAUCACCCACAUGGCGCUGAUCUACGCGACUGCUAGCGAAGACAGCAGCAACACCACCAACUCGCGAGAGAUCCAAGCAGUCCUGGAGGAAUUUGCCGACGUGUUCAAGGAGCCAGAGGGGUUACCGCCUCGGCGUGACUGCGGCCACAAGAUCCCUCUCAUCCCAGGAGCCCAACCUGUGAACAUCAGGCCCUACCGUCACAAACCGGAGCACAAGAAGGAGAUUGAUGCUCGAGUCGAAGAACUCCUUCGCAAAGGGAUCAUACAGAAAAGCAGCAGCUCGUUUUGCUCCCCGGCCAUCCUGGUCAAGAAGAAAGACGGGACGUGGAGACUCUGCAUCGACUACAGGCACCUCAACGCCAUCACCUACAUCGCCAAGUACCCUGUGCCCAUCAUCGAGGAGUUGCUGGACGAAUUACACGGCGCAACCUGGUUCUCCAAGUUGGAUCUUCGCUCAGGCUAUCACCAAAUCCGCUUGGCAGAAGGUGAAGAGCACAAGACAGAGUUCCAGAUGCACUCAGGCCACUAUGAAUUCUUGGUGGUGUCUUUUGGGCUAGCUGGUGGACCGGCCACAUUCAACGGAGCACUGACGACAACUCUCAAACCUUUCAACCGCAAGUGUGUGCUCCUCUUCUUCGAUGACAUACUGGUAUUUAGUAAGACGAUGCGCGACCACGUCGAGCACCUGCGACAAGUGCUGCAACUCCUGCGCCAAGAUCAAUGGCGCGUGAAGAUGUCCAAGUGUGAGUUCGGCCAGCACAGCCUCUCGUACCUGGGACAUGUCAUCAGCAACCAGGGAGUAUCUACAGAACCAACCAAGAUACGAGCCGUGUCCAACUGGACGACACCAGCUGACGUCAAGGCAGUGCGCAGCUUCUUGGGGCUAGCCGGAUACUACCAGCGCUUCGUCAAGAACUUUGGGGUCAUCACGCGCCCUCUGUUUAACCUGCUGAAGAAAGGGGUGUCGUUCGUGUGGACACCGGCUACAGAAACAGCCUUCCAACUGCUCAAGCAACAUCUGAUCGAAGCCCCGGUCCUAGCACUUCCAAACUUCUCCAAACCACUUGUCAUCAAGACGAACGCUUGUGACAAGGGAAUUGGAGUGAUACUGCAACAGGAUGGCCACCCGAUUGCCUAUAUGAGUAAAGCCCUGAGCCCCCGGUACCAGGGUCUCUCGACCUAUGAGAAGGAAUACUUGGCAGUUAUUGUAGCUGUGGACCAGUGGCGCCCCUACCUCCAACAUGCCGAAUUCACCAUCCUCACUGAUCAACGCAGCUUGACACACCUGACAGAGCAGAGGCUUUCGACACCAUGGCAGCAACGAGCUUUCACUAAACUUCUGGGGCUCCGCUACAUCAUCAGGUACAAAAAGGGAGCAGAGAACACGGCUGCGGAUGCCCUGUCCAGAGCAAAAACAACUGACGUGCUGCACACCAUCAACGUGUGCCAACUAGCUUGGCUUGAAGAUAUUGUCACCAGUUACAACACUAACCCUCAAGCGCAAAAACUCCUCGAGCAGUUGGCUGUGCGAGAGGACCCAAAAGGAAGAUUCCAGCUUCAGAAUGGACUGCUUCGUUUCCGUGGCCGCAUCUGGCUGGGAGGAACCACAGCUAUGCAACAACACAUCAUCGCAGCCUUCCACGACAACCCGAUGGGGGGUCACUCUGGCUUUCCCGUGACGUAUCGCCGCAUUCGCAGACUGUUCGCUUGGCCCAAGAUGAAGGCGCAUGUUCAGCAGUACGUGCGGUGCUACCAGGUAUGUCAGCAGGCCAAACCAGAUUGCGCAGCUUCGCCGGGGCUGUUGAUGUCAUUGCCAAUACCCAAAGAGUCAUGGGAUCUGAUCACAAUGGACUUUGUGGACGGACUGCCACAGUCGGGACAAUACAACUGCCUGCUCGUUGUGGUCGACAAAAGAACACGGUUUGCACAUUUCCUGCCCCUGGCUCAUCCCUAUACUGCAGCUAAAGUGGCUAUCCUAUACAUGCAGCAAUUGUACAAGCUCCACGGAUUCCUCGGGGCAAUUGUAUCUGACCACGACCCUGUUUUCACCAGCCAUUUUUGGCAAGAACUAUUCAAAUAUGCAGGCACGGAGCUGAGAAUGAGCACGGUGAACCACCCGCAAACCGACGGCCAGACAUAA
rnacentral:rRNA from 1 species